GGAGCUUUCUCCAAAGGACAAGUAAACAACAACUUCAAGUAGUUGUAUAUUUUGAGCUGGAUAAUUUACAGCCUCAUCUUCUCAUUUUUCCAGUUCAUUCAGAUAUGUUAUAAUUCAUCUUCCAUCUCAUCUGGUACAUGCAGCUUUUCAAUGGCAGCCUUAAUGGUUGCAACAUCAGUUGCAGAUGGUUUUAAAUCUAAUGCUACUCCAAAAUGAAGCAUGGCUUUGUCGUACAUAUUACGCCUCUUAUAUAUCCUACCCAUCAAAGCAUAAACACUGCUCUCACGAGGAGCAUGCUCUUUGAGUUCCUCUAAGACUUCUAAAGCGGCAUCAAAACUUUCCGUGCUCACAAGGAUGUUAGCCUUCUGAUACAUUGGAAGGGGGUUUUUCUUGUCUGCUACAAUAGCCAGCUCCAUCACUUCCAAUGCCUCCUCAUUUUUCUUCAGAGCGUGUAAUGCAGUGCCUAGAUAUGACAUGAUAACAGAAGACUGUGGAUUUAUACCCAAAGCCAUUCGAAAGUGAUGCUCUGAAAAUUCAAACUUCUCCUGUCGGAGAUAGAUCAUUCCAAGCCCAUACCAGGCAUUGUAAUGCCUGGCAUCCACACGAAGUGCACUCUGGUAGCUCUUAAUAGCAUUUUCAAAAUCUUC
rnacentral:misc_RNA from 1 species